rnacentral:rRNA from 1 species
AGAGUUUGAUCCUGGCUCAGGAUGAACGCUGGCGGCGUGCCUAACACAUGCAAGUCGAACGGGGAGCAUUUCGGUGCUUCGAGUGGCGCACGGGUGAGGAACACGUAGCUGACCUGCCUCAGACACUGGGAUAACGGGCGGAAACGCUCGCUAAUACCGGAUAAGCUCCCGCGCUUUAGAGGCGUGCGAGAAAAGCUCCGGCGGUCUGAGAGGGGGCUGCGUCCCAUCAGCUAGUUGGUGUGGUAACGGCGCACCAAGGCAGCGACGGGUCGGGGACCUGAGAGGGUGACCCCCCACACUGGAACUGAGACACGGUCCAGACUCCUACGGGAGGCAGCAGUGAGGAAUAUUGCUCAAUGGGCGCAAGCCUGAAGCAGCGACGCCGCGUGGGCGAUGAAGGUCUUCGGAUCGUAAAGCCCUUUUCUCUGGGACGAGCAGGGACGGUACCAGAGGAAUAAGUGUCGGCUAACUACGUGCCAGCCGCCGCGGUAAUAC